rnacentral:rRNA from 1 species
AGCAGCCGCGGUAAUUCCAGCUCCAAUAGCGUAUAUUAAAGUUGUUGCAGUUAAAAAGCUCGUAGUUGAAUUUCGGGAUCAGUACGCUGGUCGUGCCUUUGGUAUGUACUGGUGUCACUGAUUCCUCCCUUCUGAAGAACCGUUAUGCCUAUUUAUUUGGUGUGGCGGGGAAUCAGGACUGUUACUUUAGAAAAAAUUAGAGUGUUUAAAGCAGGCUCGCGCUUGAAUACAUUAGCAUGGAAUAAUGAAAUAGGACGUUUGAUUCUUAUUUUGUUGGUUUCUAGGAUCGACGUAAUGAUUAAUAGGGAUAGGUUGGGGGC